rnacentral:rRNA from 1 species
UCGAGGAUCUUCCGCAAUGGGCGCAAGCCUGACGGAGCGACGCCGCGUGUGGGAUGAAGGCCUUCGGGUUGUAAACCACUGUCACCCGUUAAGAAAGGGUUGGGGGUUAACAGCUUCCAGCACUGACGAAGGCGGGAGAGGAAGCCACGGCUAACUUCGUGCCAGCAGCCGCGGUAAGACGAAGGUGGCGAGCGUUGUUCGGAAUCACUGGGCAUAAAGCGCACGUAGGCGGUGACAUAAGUCGGUUGUGAAAUCCCUCGGCCUAACCGAGGAACUGCGGCCGAUACUGUGUUGCUUGAGGACCAGAGGGGUGCAUGGAAUUUCCGGUGGAGCGGUGAAAUGCGUUGAUAUCGGAAGGAACUCCGGCGGCGAAAGCGAUGCACUGGCUGGUUUACUGACGCUGAGGUGCGAAAGCCAGGGGAGCAAACGGGAUUAGAUACCCCUGUAGUCC